AAUGAGAUAAAUAUGCCCAAUGCGCGAGAAUCUCGCGUUCUCCCACUUGUGGAACAUUUAACUCGUUUCGAAAGGUCGCGAUCGCGAGAACGUGAGAUUGUGGGAAUGUCCCUUACAGUACUCCAUAGCAUUCAGAGACGAACGGCUCGAUCUUUAUCAUAACAUGGAUUGGUUUUAAAGUGGGUCAUGUCAACACAAUGAACAGGUGAGACAAGCGCUCACUGAAACUGCUUACCCUCACGUCAAAGUCCAGCCAGGGGUACAUGCAAGGCGGUCUCACACAGCAGCCAGACACCAACGCAGGAAACCAGUGAAGUUCUUUGAGGAUCGGGGUGAUAUGGUCUGAUUUUGGGGAGAGUGAAACAAGUCUGGCUGCUUUGUUCUAGAUUGAUUGCAAUCUUCUGAUGACAUUUUUUGGAGAACCGGCAAGGAGGUUAUUGCAAUAAUCCAUCCUUGAUAUUGUUAGUGAAAGGAUAGGAACUAACGGGUCUCCAGUUUGGAUGGUGUCAAGCCGACAUUUGUUGCAUCUACUAGCAAGGCCUAUGAGUACCGACCCAGUCUUCUCAUCGUUGAGCUUCCCCUCUGUGUCGAGCAGUCUCCAGCAGUUCCGGCUUAGUUGUCUACAUUUCUUCACUACUAAGGAUGGGAAUCCCUCUCGACAAAGACAAUCGGAAUAUAGUGUACAUAUGGCUUUUAACAACAGAACCCUUCCGUGCUGGCCACGCAUCUCUGCAACUGGGCAAUAAGAAAUAUAUCAGCUGGUGGCCCAAGGAGGAUAAGAUUUUACAACGGUUAAAACCUUCCUCUGGAAUUCCUCGCACUUUUGUAGAAGACGUCGAAAGAGAGGAUUCACUGCCAACCUAUGCGGUGAUUAUACCUGAGAACCACAAACUGAACGAGGUGGCUGUUGCGCAGUGGUGGGACAAGUACAAGUCCUCGGGCAAUUGGGAUGCCCAUCACACCUGUUGUUGGGUGGUCAAGAAGGCUCUUUCCGUUGGGCUAAUAGAUGCAUCUUUUACAUUUGAUAUGUCAUUCAGCGUUAAUGAUACAUCCAACCUAUUCGACUGUGUCAUGGAGAUACCCGGUGUUGAGUUUUACAGAGGGUCACAUGUACAUUACUUUCAGUUGGGUUGGAAACUCUUGAAAGUAAUUGAGUCGACAUUUGGAAACCAAUUUGAAAUACUACAGUCACUUUUGAAAGCUUUCUCAAGAGUCCAAAUUAUAUCUUACAAAUAUAACCCAGAUGUUAGCAUUAGUUUGUUUGCAUGUUUGUUUACAGCUGUUUGUCUGUUAUGGCUGCUUAACAAGGGUGUGCCACAGACUAGAAAUUUUUGGAGUGCUGUACGUAUGAUACUCUAUACAUUUUAAUAUACUCUUUCAAUGUUCAUGUUGAUUGUGAAGGGGAAACUGACAACCUGAUUACUUGUAACAGACUUGGAAUGUUUAGUUAACCUCCGUGCGGUUUCGAUGCAUAGCUGUCUGAAAAGUAUGCAAACAGUACACCUGUACUCCAUCGUAAACUUGCUUAAUCUUACGUCGUGAUGGGCUCAGAUUUGGAACCAUACCUGGAAACUGUUCACAGAGCAUGUAUACGUUAUGUAUCCUUCAGGGAUAUGCUUGCAGGAAGUCUGAUUUAGAAAUUUGUAGUCGUUAAUUUUUUUCUCUGGUGUGUAUCAAAUAGUAAUACAAAUAUAUCUCUUCAAAUGAUAUGAAAUUUCUUAACAAAUGGCACCAUUUCACUUGUUGUCAUGGCAUGUCUUCGGAGACGUCUGAAAAAGACGACAUUGUUAUUAUGAUUAAUAAAUGUCUCAUCUAA